UCUGACCUGCCCACUGAAAAUUUUAAAUGGCUGCAGUAAUUUGACUGUACAAAGGUAGCAUAAUCAUUAGUUUUUUAAUUAAAAGCUUGUAUGAAAGGUUGGACGAAGUAAAAUCUGUCUCUUUUUAAUAUAAUUAGAAUUUAAUUUUUAAGUAAAAAAGCUUAAAUUUUUAUAAAAGACGAGAAGACCCUAUAGAGUUUAAUAAUUUUAAUAAAAUAUUUAAUUAAGAUUUAUUAAUUUUAUUUAAUUAAAAUUAUUUUAUUGGGGUAAUAAAAAGAUUAAAAAAAUUCUUUUUUUUUAAUACAUUAAUUUAUGAAUAUAUGAUCCAUUUGUAGUGAUUAAAAGAUUAAAUUACCUUAGGGAUAACAGCGUAAUUUUUUUAAAGAGUUCUUAUCGAUAAAAAAGUUUGCGACCUCGAUGUUGGAUUAAAGAUUAAUUUAGGUGUAGAAGUUUAAAUUUUUGGUCUGUUCGACCAUUAAAUCUUUACAUGAUCUGAGUUCAAACCGGUGUAAGCCAGGUUGGUUUCUAUCUUUAUUAAUUUUUUAUAUUUUAGUACGAAAGGACCAAAUAUAAAAUAUAUAAAUAUUUUUAUUUUGAAUAUUAUU
rnacentral:rRNA from 1 species